rnacentral:lncRNA from 1 species
UUAACCCUAAUUCUAACUGAAAAAUAAAUCCGUUGUUCAGACACCGAGAAAGUCCCUGAAACAUUACAAAGUUAACAUUUCGUACACAGAAAUUCAAUAUUAGCCAUUACAUUAGAGGGUCUUGAGGGGGGGAGGGAGGUCUGGCUCCCAUUUCUCUGCCCAAAUUUUCUCUAUAUCCAUUUCCCAGCCCUUUUCUCAGAUCAAAUCGCAGUUCCACUGUGAAAAUUGAAAGAAAAUCCCAGAGCAGGUGGUUCAUCUAUGUGAUGACUUUUAAACACAAUUAUGUGUUCAGUUGCCCUCUUUAGAACUAGUUUUGCCGAGAAAAAGGUGAAUGCCUGAUUUACAAGAGCAGAAAAAUGACCUCAUUGAGCUAUAAGUCGGUUAAAUUCAGUUUGCCUGGACUCUCUUAGACAAAUUCUCCAUCAAAAAUUGCUCUGUAGCUGUUCAAUCUGAAAUGUCCAACUACAACGUAACUGCCUUUAUAUAAUGGUAUUUGGGUUUUCCCAUUUUUGUGUCUUUCAUUCCCAGUAACCCAAAUUCCAUUUUCCCAGUCCAAAAAUACGCAAAUUCCAGUUACUAUUUACCCCUUCUCUCACAUUAAUUAAUUAAGCGUGUUCAAAAACAAAAGAAUAUUACAUGCCCUUAUCUCUGUGGGAAGACUGAGUGCGAGUCUCAAUCCGGAGGGCAUGCUCCCCCAGAAAACAUUUGUGGGUCUGGAGGUAUGCUCCCCCAGAAAACGUCAGCGUUUCCGAAGCCUCGGAAGAGCAUUUUCCGUGUUUCCUGAGAGGAAUUUUUAUCAAAGUUGUGAAUUUCUUGCAUUUAACAAUUCAAGAUUUUGUAAUGCACUAUUGCACUUUACAACUUUUUACCACUUCCCACCAACUCUGUUAAAAAAUUGGGUUAAGACCAUAGGGUUAAGGUAAUUCCGCAGUUUUGCAUUGCGCACUUUUACUGCGCACAUCUUAUAACUUAUGAUUUCAUCCACUAUACGUACCGUUUAAAAAAAAAAAUUAUGACUUAACAAAUAUAAAACAUUUUCCGUGUUGAUAUACAGUUAUAUCAACACGAGUGGAAAUUGGGAAACCGAGAAAUUGUGUGGAAACACGACGCCCAAAGGGCGGAGUGUUUUCACACAAUUUCGAGUUUUCCCAAUUUCCACGAGUGUUGAUAUAACUAUGUAUCAAUACGGAAAAAAUGUUUUAUAUUUGUUUUAUAAUAUAGCACAAAGAAACAUAAAGAAAGAAAUUUUCCGACGUUUCCGUGUUGACAUCGAGUUAUAUCAACACGACUCUUAGCCAAUCAGCGUUCACAAUUUACAAAUGCUAUAUUAUAAAAUUUUAUGUUAUUUCAAAACAUCUUUGGUUACAUUCGUGCAAAGAAUUACGUUAAAAUCAAUGUUUUCAAAAAAGCCAUACAAAAGUGUAGCUAGGGUUCUCUGUGUCUGUAGUAGUUGUUUACUCGUAUUUCACGUUUUAAUGCCACAAUUCCCUAAAAAGAUCGGUGACCCCCGUUUUUUAACUGAUAAUUUAUUUCUUUAAUGCAUUUUACAUUUCA